GUAUACACAGCCUCUCAUUGUUUUGCAAAUGGAGCUCUGAAAAACACCAGGAAGUGCAGGCACAAGCCCAGCUCCGCUAAAAAACGAUGGAGUUCACAUGCGUUUGUGGCUUUUGCACUGAGGUUUAAAAACAGUUUACUGCUUCCUCCUCUGCCCACAGUCGGGAGUAUGCUGCCUCUGGGGCGUACCUGCACUUCCCGCUCCUUUAGGUAAUGUCCUGGCCUUACCUGCCCACUCUAAGGCAGCAUGCAGUGGGUGCAUCCUGGCGCCACAAAGAAAAGGAACGUGCCCAUGCAACCCACUCAGGUUGUUUUGCAGGGUCCCUGGGAGACACCCACUCCCACUUCUCUACUUGUCACCUUGGACUUGAGCAUUACAAGGAGACAAGCUCUCCAUUUAUUGUGAAGCACUGACACAGAGACCAGAAGUAAAGAAUUUGCCCUUGCUACCAAGUUCAGCUGCCUCAGUCUCCAGGAUAUCUCCAGGCAUCUACCCCUUUCGGGCCAGGAUCCAGGACCUUGGACUUUGCAGCUGCACCACUGGACCCAGGCUCUUGGUUCAAAACUCACCAGAGUGUCUGGCUGUAGGUCUGUAAGCUACCCUCUGGGAUUCAACUGGGAUUCAACUACCUUCUGCAGCUGGGAAAUGACAGGCAUCUUCAUUUCUCUAGAGCAAUUCCAGAGUGCGUGCAGUAGCACCUCUCUUCCAGACCACAGUGUGGGAUCAGCAAUCAGGGGCUUUACAUCUCCAAAGCAGUUCAGUAGAUGGUGGUUAAGAAAACAAGUAGAACAAAGAUAAGCCGCUUCCCAGUAAACACUUCAGAGCUGCAAGGAGAUAAUGCUGAAUCUAUUCGACCUCAGGAUUCUCCCUGUGGAUAGAACCAGUGCUGAACAAUAAAUGGUCACAGAAAUCUUCUCUUUCCAUCUGCUGAGGAGCUGUUCAGUGAGGAUCUGUAUGGCUGUCUGAAGAAGCUAAGAGGCAACAUUUUUUUUUUUGGUGGGGGUGAUAGCUUUUUAUUGGGCCAACUGCAUAACUGGUAUAAAGCUAGACAUGUUUUGUAUGCAAGGCAUUCUUUAUCAGGUCUUAGGAGGGAAGAAGCUAAGACUGCCUGGUCAAUCGCUCGAGGGUUUUAGGGAAGACAGAGAGGCACAUAGACUGUUUGUUGUUUUAAAAUCCAGGACUUGUCAUGCUUUACUAUUACUGCUACAAUUAAACUACAUCAUGGUCUAAGUCAGUGGGUCUCAACGUUUUUUGUACCAGGACCCAUCUGUAAAUGUCAAUGGCCAGU